CUGUAUUUAGAUAUAAGCCCUUUAAACCGGCAUUUAAAGUUUAAUGACGUCAUAAGGGUGGAGGCCUAUAGCAUCCAAUAAGAUUGGUGUUCUUACAACAGGUGAGAGAGACAGACACUGGGAGUGCUCAUGCGCAGAGGAAAGGCCGUAGGAGGAUGCUAUAAAAAGGCUGUUGUCUGCAAGCCAAGGGGUGAGGCCUCGGGAGAAACCAAGCCUGUUGACACCACGAUCUUGGACUUCCACCCCUUCAGAACGAAUCUUGCCAGUGGCAUCAUUACAAGCUCAAACUAACCUAAUGCUGGAGAAUGAGAGACCACAUAGGAGGGGAGAAAGGACAGUAUGUCACUCUGUUGCGAAAGCUGGAGUAUAGUGGCUCAAUCAUAGCUCACUACAGCCUCAAGAACUUGGACCCAAGUGAUCCCCCUGCCUCAGCCUCCUGAGAAGCUGGGAUUACAUUUGUGUGUGUUUUUUUCCCCCCCAAGCACUGCUUUAUCAGCAUUACUAUUUUGAUAUACCGUAUUUUGUUUUUAUUUGGUUUUUGUUUUAUUUGCUUUGAGAUAUAUUUUAUGGACAAGUCAUGAAUUAUCUUGAUAAAUAUUCCAUGUUCAAUUUUUUGAAAAAGCUGUAUACACAGUAGUUUUGAGUGUAGUAGUCUACACAUCUCAAGAUGCAAAUUAGGUCAAAGUGAUGGAUAGUCUUGGUCAGAUGAUCAAUAUUCUUCCUAUGUUUUGUCUACUUGUUUUAUUUUAAUUUCCCAGAGCUGAACAGUAAAAUCCUUAACAAUGAUUGUGGAUUUAUCCUUCUUUUCACUUCUUUCUGAUUUUGCUUUAUGAAUAUUGAAGUUCUUUUAUUAGAUAGAUAUCCAUUUGUCAUUGUUAUAUCUUCUUCUUCAACUGAUUCAUUCAUUAUUAUAAAGUGUUACUCUCCUUACCUUGUAAAAAAUGUUUUUUAAAAAAUUAAAAUGAUCCAUAAAAGCCUUUUUAUAAAUUAAGAUUUCAUUGUUUAUUUUUCUGUCCUUUUACUUUCAACCCACCUGUGACUUUCUGUCUAUCUUACCUGGGGUUCCUUGUAGACAGUAUGUUGUCAUUUUUUUAAAUUCAAUAUAAUAAUUGAUUCAUUUUAUCAG
rnacentral:lncRNA from 10 species